CAGCCGCCGCGGUAAUACAGAGGGUGCGAGCGUUAAUCGGAUUUACUGGGCGUAAAGCGUGCGUAGGCGGCUUCUUAAGUCGGAUGUGAAAUCCCUGAGCUUAACUUAGGAAUUGCAUUCGAUACUGGGAAGCUAGAGUAUGGGAGAGGAUGGUAGAAUUCCAGGUGUAGCGGUGAAAUGCGUAGAGAUCUGGAGGAAUACCGAUGGCGAAGGCAGCCAUUUGGCCUAAUACUGACGCUGAGGUACGAAAGCAUGGGGAGCAAACAGGAUUAGAUACCCCGGUAGUCCCUGUCUCUUAUAC
rnacentral:rRNA from 1 species